rnacentral:rRNA from 1 species
GACGAACGCUGGCGGCGUGCUUAACACAUGCAAGUCGAACGGAAAGGCCCUGCUUUUGUGGGGUGCUCGAGUGGCGAACGGGUGAGUAACACGUGAGUAACCUGCCCUUGACUUUGGGAUAACUUCAGGAAACUGGGGCUAAUACCGGAUAGGAGCUCCUGCUGCAUGGUGGUGGUUGGAAAGUUUCGGCGGUUGGGGAUGGACUCGCGGCUUAUCAGCUUGUUGGUGGGGUAGUGGCUUACCAAGGCUUUGACGGGUAGCCGGCCUGAGAGGGUUACCGGGCACAUUGGGACUGAGAUACGGACCAGACUCCUACGGGCGGCAGCAGUGGGGAAUCUUGCACAAUGGGCGGAAGCGUGAUGCAGCAACGCCGCGUGCGGGAUGACGGCCUUCGGGUUGUAAACCGAUUUCGCAUGUGACGAAGCGUGAGUGACGGUAAUGGGUAAGGAAGCAACGGCUAACUACGUG